CAAAUUCUUCUUCCCAGAAUACACUGCAGUUUGGGGAGCCUUUCUCAGCUGAGGCUGAGUCCCAGGCUCAGUACUGAGGCUGUCCUGAUACCAGGACAAACACAACUGAGGUAAUCCCCUGGUACCUGCAGAACCUAUCACUCUUCCAGGCAAGGAGGGGAUUAAUUGGCCAUACUUGGAAGUAAAAAAAUCUAUGCGAUCUAAAGUAUCCCAGGAGUUUUUCAAAUGGCUUCAUGUGUAUUAAAUCAUUUGAUGCCCCCAGCACCCAUUAGAGGGAAAUCGUUGUAUGAUCUCUACUUUACAAAUGGGGAAAUAGAGGCACAGAGGUUUAAGUGACCUUUCUUCCCAAAGACACAGACAUAGUAAGUGGUGGAGCUGGAAUGUGAACCCAAAUGGCCAACUCCAGGACCUGUGCCUCAGUUACCCGCCUUCCUGAGCUGACUCAGAAAGAGCCCCCGCGGGUGAGAAUAAAGAUAAGCCCCAAGAUGGUGUCACAGUCGGGACCUAGAGCUGCUUCGAUCCACUUGGAUUUGUGCACUCAACAAACUGUGUUGAGCUCUUUUCUCGGCUUCCUCUGAGAGGUCGGUGUGAGACGGUGCUGAGCCCCAGUUACCAGCAGCACCCAGGCCCUUCGAGAGUCCGCACUUCGCAGGACAAUGUGUCUUGUCACCAGCGUCUCCUGGGGUCUCAUCACAGAACAAGGAAGAUCCAUGACCAACAGAACGACGGCCCCCUCUAGUGACAGCCCCUCACCACUGGGCCAUCCUGCCAUCCAUUCAUCUGUUCAGUUAGGAAGCAUCAGUCCAGCGCUUUCAGUAUACUGGAAGCCAUCUUUAUAUAACCCUGUCAUUCCACCAUUUGCUGAAGUUGUUUGAUGUCUUUCAAUUCCUCUUUCAUUUUUCCAUAGCAAGAAAUAUUCCUAGCCAUGUCCCAGUUUCUCCCAAAAUACAUGUAUUUGAACUUCCAGCAUUCCCUUUAAUAAGAAGAAAAUUAAUAAUCACUGUUAAUAACCCACUUUGUACCACUACUGUGUUCAGCACUUACAGGCAGCUUCAUUUAAUCCCCACAACAGGCCUAGGAGGUAGGUCCUAUUGUGUGCUCCCCAUUUUACAGAUGAGAAUACUAAGGAUCAGAGAGAGACAGUGGCUUACCCAGGGUCACACAGCCUACACACAGUGGAGCUGGGCUUUGAACUCAGUUCCUAUCUUCUGAAGCCAGACUUGUAACCUUCAUUUCCCCUUCCCCAUCCCAUGUUUGUGCAGGUAGAAAAUGAUUUGCUUGCAGCCCCAGAUGCUGUGGCUACACGUGACACUUUCUCUUGUUUCCAAAGGUGGUGGCCCUUAGUAAGAGAAGUCAGGAGGCGGAGGCGGCUUUUCUGAGUGUUUACAAGCAAUUAAUUGAAGCACCAGGUAAGAAACACUUGGCUCCAUAAGUGAAUAAUUACCAACAAGGACCUGCCAUGAGCAGGCUCACAGGGGCUUCCUGAAGCGGGAUCUGGGACAGACCUGGGCUUCCAGGUGAGGCCAGGCACUCCGGGGCUGGGGGCCACACCCCUCUACUGUGACACCCCCACCGCCUUCCGACAUUAACCAGGUACCCACUGUGGGGGCUUCUGAUGAGGUAUCCCACCAAAUGUCUAAUCAUCGGAACCCCCAAACCAUGGCUGCAAGUGACAGAAGGUGCCAUUGCUCUCUGUCAGCAGGGAGACUAGAGGGGCAGCUACCAAGUCUCCCCAGAGUGACUCAGGCUUCCUCAGAACUUGCUAUCGAAGGAAAGCCAGGCCCAGAAGAGUGCAUACUGGAUGGCCCCAUUUCCAGAAAACACACAGACAGGCCAGAGGCUGUCUGUUGGCAGUGCUCACAGUGGCCCAAAGGGAAGCACCCCCACGUUCAGCAGGGGUAAUGGAGCUUUAAAAUGUGGUCUCCAUGCUGAGCAAUAUUAUUCGGCCAUGACAAGGAAUGAGGUGCUGAUCCACGCUACAACUGGGUAACCUCAAAGAACAUGGUGCCAAAUGGAAGAAGUCAGAUACAAAAGGCCACCGAGAACAUGAUUCCAUUUAUAGGAACAUCCAGAAAAGGUGAAUCUGUAGGGAUGAAAAGCGAUUUGGCCAUUGCAGGGGUUGGGGGGACAGGAAUUGGGGAGCAACUGCUUGAUGCAAAUGAGUUUCCUUUUGGGGAGAUAAAAAUGUUCUGGAACUAGAGCUGGGCCUUGUGACCCACACCUGUAAUCGCAGCACUGUGGUAGGGCGAGGCAGGAGAAUUGCAGAUUCGAGCCCAGCUUGGACAACUUGGCGACUUAGCAAGACCUUGUCUCAAAAUUUAAAAAUAAGAAAAGGGUUGGAGAUGUAGCUCUGUGCAGAGGCCCUGGGUUCAAUUCCCAGUACCUUGAAAAGAAAAAAAGCGAUCUGGAGCUAAAUAGACGUGGCAGAACAUUGUGAGUUUACUAAAUGUCACUGAGUUGUUCACUUUAAAACAAUAAAUUUUAUGUUAUGUGAACUUUACAUCCAUUGGGGAAAAAAUUGCCUGGUGCUGUAGGAAGUGCUGUUGCUCAGUCUGGGUACAGUUCGCAGAAGUGUUGUCACUUUGGGGACAUCUGGUGGUACACUUAGGGUACAUGGGGACGUUGUACACCUGUGAAGUUUCCCUUUUCUCACAGAGCCCAUCUCCUGCCACAUUCCCAUCUCCUGACCGGGGAACAGGAGGCCAGUGCUCAGAAGUUCAUGUUCUGGUGACGGAGGACAUAGAUGACCAGACCAUAGCUCACCUAAGCUGCCAUCACAAACCCAGGGCCAUGCCAGCAGUUUAGAGCUUGGGGUGUAGGGGCCAACAGACACAGGGAACAGCGGGAAGGGCUACAGCCCAUCAGAUGCGAGGCUUCAUUGCAGGAUCCCUAGGGAAACUGCAUCCUUUUGGACUCCAGGAUGCUGAAACACAGGCACAGGGCCAGCCAAGGACCCUGAGAACCCCCAGAGACUGGCGAGGAGCUUUCCCUGGUGCCCUCUCCCCUCUCCCCAAAGCCUGGGAGCGCCGAGGUCACUCCAAGCCUGUGCUGACUUGUGUGUCUGAUUUCCCAGCUCUCCUCCCCAGAAAUGGAGGGGCGGGGGGAUGUCCCCAGCUGUCACCGAGUUAGAGAAUGAGGAGCCUUAACUGAUGGAGACGUACCACACAAACAGCCCCUUUAGGGGCUCUAAUUCAUUUUCGAGACAUUUAAGAAUAACAAAAUGUUUUAAUGAUUUCUUAGGGGAAUUAGGAAGACAUAUUUUUGUUCUCAUUAAAUUUUAUCCUCAGACACAAGAACCAAAUGUCAGAUGCGUUUUUGGUGCUCAGAGCAGCCCUGCUUGCUGCCCCCCGCCCCCUGCCGCCCCAACCCCCACCCUAAAAAUACCACGCCUGAAAAACGGGCAAGGAUGGGAUAUGCGUGCCCCUGUUAGUGUAUUUCUUGACAGGAAAAUUAUUUGUUGAAAUUCUCCCCCUACACACACCCCCAAAGCCACACACAAGUCCUGAUUCAACAUUUUUGUUUUGAAUGACUGCUGCCAACACAAAUCUUUGGCAGAGAAUGGGAUAUAGCCUGAUUGCUCAGCAAGUAUUUUGAUAAGUGUGCAGCCUGUAUGUCUGUAAUUACGAAAGAAAACCGUAAAUCUUUUGGAUAUUGUUCACACAGAUGUGGCGUGAAGUGAGAAAAAAAGCAGUAAAACGUGUUAAAAGCAUAAUUAAUGUCAUUGUUGUGGAGGAAGAUUUGAUUUAAACCCCUCUGACUUCUGUAUUGGUGACGGCUGAUUUCUUUAUCGCGCACAUAGAGUCACUAGGUACCGACCCGAGCUUCAGAACGCUAACUUGUUAACUGAGUGAUUAGUUAAAAGACAGGGAGAAAAAAGGAAAAGACAAAGAAAGAGCAAGUGAGAGGGCAGGCAGAGGAACACUGCUGAGGAGAUGAGAAGCGAGAGGUGAGUGCCCCAAAAUGGGUUUUUUCUGCUUUUCUUUGGUGUGAGAUCUGAUGCAGGAUUGUACGAUUUCUGGCAGGUGUUUCCAGCCCUGCUCCUUCUUUGGGGAGUCAAGGCAGCCAGCAGGGUGGUUGCGUGGGCACACUGCAGCAUCGGGCACUACUGAGUGGGACACUCGGCUUAGUGUUCUGAGCUGUGUGGCCUAGGCCAGGGAUCUUAACCUCUCUGAACUCUCGGCUUUAGAAGAGGGGUAAUGAUCGGACCUGCUCAUCAGUCAACGCAAGGAUUCAGUACUUUGCGCCCGAUCGCAUUUAGCAGGGUUGAAUAACCCAGAGCCCGAUGACAUCAGGACCUAAGAGCUGCUGACUCUGCCUGGAGCGCUUUGUGUCCUGCAUCCCUGAGCCACGAGAGCAUCCUUACUUCCCUGGGAGGUCACAGGUCCUAGGGACUUUGGUUUGUCUUGGCUAACAGUCUCUCGUGUGGCCAUAUUGAAACUUACUGAGCCCCUGCCGGACACUGGGCUUCUGGGUGCUCAGGGGAUGUAGCUUAUUGGCACUGCUCUUUAGACCUGAGGACAAGGAAGAAAACUUGGGAAGAAAAUAUGCUGUAGUGACGUAUUGGCCACAAACCCAUGAUCAGUGGUCAGAAAAAAUGGGACUAUUUUUCUCUCGUUUUUGCUCCUUUAUUUGCUCAUCUACUAAAUAUCUUCUCAUAUGUUAUGAGCCACUUCUGUUUAUUCUUUUGUAAGUCACUGAUUUGUAUGUCCUUUCUGUCAGAGGGUAAAUCAUUUUCUUGUUGAUUUGUAGAUGCUCUUUGUAUAUUAAGGAUAUUUACCUUUGUGCUGGUGCACAUUUCAUGUCUUCUCCCCUAGUUUGCCUUUUGUUUUUUACCUUUGUGAUAAUGUCUCGUAUAUAGAACAUAGCAAGUAUUCAAGAAUCAUUUGAAGAAAUAGAGAAUCUUACCAAAUCUUUGCUUUAUGGCUUCUGAUUCAUGUGUCUUGUUUUUUAAAGGCUUUCUCACCUCAAUGUUAUAGAAAUUUUUUGAGUACUUUCCUUGUCUUAGUUUUUAAAAAUUUAAAUCCAAACCAUCUGAGAUAGAUUUUGAUGGAAAUAAUGAAGGCGGUUAAGUAUCUAGCUUUUUGUCCCAAAUAACUAAUUCUAGCGCCAUCUAGUGGCUGAGCCACCUCCACGUGUAGUUAUUUAGAUUUUUGUAUAAUUAGAAACUGUAGUCUGCCUUCUCUGCCUUUUCACUAUCCCUCUCCCCCCCCCCCCCGCCACUUGUGCCUCUGCUCAGGUAGUCCUGUUGGGAUUAUGGGACACCAGAGGAUAACGUAAAUGAGUUUUUGUUUUGUUUUGUUCUGUUUUUUGCUGGGUUUGGGUUUGGGUUUUGGUUGAACCUCUGCAGAGAACUACAUCCCCAGCCCUUUAUUUUGUUUUGAGACAGGGUCUCACUAAAUUGCUCAGGCUCGAACAUGAAAUCCUCCUGCCUCAGCCUCCCAGAGUGCUGGAAUUACAGACAUGCACCACAACACCUAGCAUAAAGUUUCGGUUCUUGUUUUCAGUACUAGGGAUUGAACCCAGGGCCUUGCACAUGCUAGGCAAGUGUGCUGCCACUGAGCUACAUCCCCACCCCUCAUAAGAUAGUUUCGGUGCAUAAAAAAGGGAAAGCUUAAUGAUGUCAGAUUUUCCUAAAGACAGUGGUGACUUGGGAAGGCACAUUCCCUCCCCAUCCCCUCCGCCAGUACCACCCUCUCCUCAAGGCCACCUGCCCAAGCCUGACUGCCUCGGGGAGCUCGGGGUUAGAGAGUGGGUUAGGGAAAGCAGCUCCUAUGCACUGGCACCCAGGACAGGACUGUUCUCGACCAAACAGGAGGGCGGGCACUGCUGCUGUGGCCUUGCCCGGUCCUGACACCUACUUCAAGCCAAGCACUAUGGAAACUCAGUUGGGGACCCACAAGGACCCUGACCCAAAAGCAGACAAGCAGAACACACAGAAGAGAACAGGCUCUGAGGACAAUGGCUGGGGGCAGGGCCUCAGAGAGGGUGGCCUGGAACUUGGUUCAGAAGGCUGAGGUACCAUCCUGCUGUGCCCCUCUGGGUGCUUCUUCCUGUGUGAUCCGCUGAGGAAGGGCAGGCUCAGGUCAAGCCACCCACCCGAGGUCACACGGCAGAGACAGGACAGCCAGCUCCUGACCGCUACCCCAGUUGCAGAAUUUUUAAAAUCCAGGGAGUUUGAACAACAAAGCCUCUGGGGACUCAACUCCACAGACCCACAACCACAGGGACAGGGUCCCUGCUGCCACUGAGAGGGACCGGGUGGGGGUUGGGGUCUGUGCUGAGAGGCAGGAAGAGCAAUGUGGCCUUCACUGGCCAGGAACUCCUGCUCCCUCUGGCCCUGGGCUCCAGAGCCGUGGUGCCUGGCAGAGGGGGAACAAGGGGCUCCAAACUUGG
ensembl:lncRNA